UCCUGGCUCAGAUUGAACGCUGGCGGCAGGCCUAACACAUGCAAGUCGAGCGGAUGACGGGAGCUUGCUCCUUGAUUCAGCGGCGGACGGGUGAGUAAUGCCUAGGAAUCUGCCUGGUAGUGGGGGACAACGUUUCGAAAGGAACGCUAAUACCGCAUACGUCCUACGGGAGAAAGCAGGGGACCUUCGGGCCUUGCGCUAUCAGAUGAGCCUAGGUCGGAUUAGCUAGUUGGUGGGGUAAUGGCUCACCAAGGCGACGAUCCGUAACUGGUCUGAGAGGAUGAUCAGUCACACUGGAACUGAGACACGGUCCAGACUCCUACGGGAGGCAGCAGUGGGGAAUAUUGGACAAUGGGCGAAAGCCUGAUCCAGCCAUGCCGCGUGUGUGAAGAAGGUCUUCGGAU
rnacentral:rRNA from 1 species